GUGUCUGUGUGUACACAAAAAAAUUGAUUAAGAUACAAACCUUUAUAAGAAACAAAACUUACGCUAACUGCAAAGUACGCUAUCUGUAAACCAAGUGUGUGUUUGAAAAGUGGAAGAAACGUGUGACAUCAAGUGAAUACACAGAUUAGUUUGGGCAUGGUUCGUAGUAACCUUGACCUGCACUGAUAGGCUGUGCAGACAGAUGGCGGUUCCUUAGACUGUCCAUGUGGUGGACCUUGAGACCAAGGAUGUGCUUUCUGUUCUGGGAACACAAGCAACACUAGUUACGUUCAGAGUUCAGAGACUAUGACAUCACGAGGUGCUUUCUGUCAUGGUUAAAACAACGAGCGUUUGAGACUAGUCAGGAAUACGCUAUAGUAAUUUGGCGUGCAUCUGUUUGUUUAUAUGAUAUAAAGAGGGAGAGAGCGUGAGAGAGAUACUCCCCCGGUCCACCAAACACACCUCCUUUUUCCAGCUCUCAUCUUCCUUCCCAAUCUCACUCGUUGGUCAUUUUUAUUUUUAGGCCUGGUCAGGUUUCCAGUUCUUCAUUCUUUGACGGGACACGGGAGACCAAUAACUGCUCCACGCGAUUCUGUCUUUAAUUUCCGGACUUAUGCAUCACACCGCCGUUUGCCUCAGAGGACCCACGGGCACAGUCUCCCUCUUCCAUAAGAACAAGGUCACCUAUUCUCCUGGGCCAGGAUCAAACCAAAGGCAUAUAUCUACAAUUUGGUGCCACUGGGCAUCUGUGGAAAGUCUGGUCUAGGUCUACGACACGCUGUGUUGAUUGCAAUCACGUCAGGACACUGGGAAGUCAUGGUGGACCGCACUGACCUGCUUGUGCAAGGUGAGAACCGACGUUGACUAUGACAAUUCACCAUACAUUCAUUAUUCGCAUCCAUUCAUCCUAAUGUUUAUAAAUGAAUAGUUGCAUGUUUGCCAAAAUAAGUCAUCGUCUGUAGUUUCAAGUGUAUUUGCUUCUGUCUAAAACAUUCGUAUAUUACUGUGUUGUUAAUAUUUAAACACUAUAUGUGGUUUACCUAUUAGUCCACUAGAGGGAGCAUUGUGAUUGUUUUUCUCACUUGGGCUGGACAUUUAUCACAGCUUCGAUGGGUUCGUCAGGAGCUGCACAAUAUGGAGAAGCUCUCUUGGUAUUAAGUCAAAUUAUCAAAACUGGGCGUAGUGUAACGUUACAUAAAUAAAAGCAAGUUCUAAAAGUGUAAUGGAUAAUGU
rnacentral:lncRNA from 1 species